GACGAACCGUGCGAACGUUGUUCGGAAUCACUGGGCUUAAAGGACGCGUAGGCGGACCAUCAAGUCAGGGGUGAAAUACUUCGGCUUAACCGGAGAAUGGCUUCUGAUACUGGCGGUCUUGAGGGGUGUAGGGGCAUGUGGAACUUCCGGUGGAGCGGUGAAAUGCGUAGAUAUCGGAAGGAACGCCGGUGGCGAAAGCGACGUGCUGGACACCUUCUGACGCUGAGGCGCGAAAGCCAGGGGAGCAAACGGG
rnacentral:rRNA from 1 species